AAAGACCUUGUAAAACUAUAAAUCCCAGGACUCCAUAGCAUGCAGCCGUGGCCAUUAAAGUGGUAGCAAACAGAAAUACUUCUACGGUGCUUCAGGCUGGUUACCUUGACAAGAGGUGGCCAGGAUUUCCUACCUGUCCACAAUACAGGUGAGUGGCAGGUGAGGCUGUUCCUCCCAAGACUCACCUGAGGAGACACAGGGGAGGUGUCUUGGCAGGAACGGCUCAAAGAGAGAUGCAACCAGGAAGUGACUUGCCGCCCACAUUUGUACUCGCAAUUUACUCCGGGGAGCAUUGCUCUGUUUAAGCCGAGGCCUCCUUGACGGACAGAGGAAAAGAGCCUUCCCUCCCCAAGGAAGGCCAACACCUGGAAGCCUCUUCUCCUGCCUCAGCUUGGCUCCUCCACCUUCUGUCGCUCGAUGGCUCCUUUGCUGACGCAGAAAACGGAGACGUCUCUCAGCGUUUCAGCCUCUCCUUCGCUUGGAGUGAGUUUCGUGUCAACGCUCCCGGUUGUCCUCACCAUCCUUCUGCUGCUUCUCUGCUUCCCUUUUAGAAGGAAAAAAAGACAAUUGUCUCCACGAGUCCUUCAGAGGGAGAGGAAUUCAUCCCAGCUUAUUCACAUAGCCAAAUUGGAAGAGGAACCGAGUCCGGAGAGAAAGCCUUUGGAAGAUGAAAACACUCACAAAGGUAAGACGUCCAUACAUUGGAAGUGCUUUGGAUGCUUACAGUUUGUCGUAUGUAAGCGAAAAGUGCGACAAAAUUGUCAUUGAACAACAGUAACCUUUCAAUCUUUCACUUUUCCCAACUUCUUUUACAAUGAAGGAAUGGAUUUAAAUUGCAGGAAAAGAGAUUCCACCUAAAUAUUAGGGAGAACUUUUUUUCCCCAAAUAAUUUUUAUUAAACACUAGCUUGGGUAUCCGGCGAUGCGCGGGUUAUUUGAAAAAGUCAUUAUUUGUCUUUGAUUGUUAGGUAUUCUCAGUUUGGAGUGGGUGAAUUACAAUUCCCAGAAUCCUGGGUCAAUCCUCCCCAAACCCUGCCAGUAUUCAAAGUUGGCCAUUGUGGGUCUGUGUACCAAGUGUAGUCCAGAUCUGUCAUUGGCUGGUCAUCGCCCGGCUGCAGUGCUCGCUGGAUGAGGGUGAACUACUACAACUCCCAGAUUCCCAGGGCAAUUGUCCCGAAACAUCUGUCAGUAUCCACAGCAGGCAAUGUUGAGUCUGUGUGCCAAGUUUGGUCCAGAUCCAUGGUUGGCUGGGUUCAAUGCUCUUUGGAUGCAGGUGAACUACAACUCUCAAAAUCAAGGCCCAUUCCCACAAACCCCUGCAGUAUGUUCAAUUGGUCAUGAGACUUCUCUGUGCAAAGUUUGGUCCCGGUCCAUUGUCGGUGGGGGUCACUGUUUCUCUGGAUGCAGGUGAACUAUAACUCCCUUUCCCCCAAACUUGUCCAAUAUGUUCUGUUGGUCAUGGGGGCUCUGUGUGCCAAGUUUGGUCCUGGUCCAUCAUCGGUGGGGUUCGGAGUGCUCAUUCAUUGUAGGUGAACUAUAAAUCCCAGCACCUACUCCUCCCAAAUGUCCUGGCCAAUUCCCCUCCAAACUCACCAGUAUUCAAAUCUGGGCAUAUUGGGUAUGUAUGGCAAGUUUGGUCCAGAGCCAUCAUUGUUUGGGUUCUGGGUGUAGGUGAACUACAACUCCUCUAUAUUCCCCAGUAGGAGUCACAGUGCUCUGAUUUGAUGCAGGAUGAACUACAACUUCCAC
rnacentral:lncRNA from 11 species